UACGAAGGGUGCAAACGUUGCUCGGAAUUAUUGGGCGUAAAGCGCACGUAGGCGGCUUAGCAAGUCGGAUGUGAAAUCCCUCGGCUCAACCAAGGAAGUGCAUCCGAAACUGCUGAGCUUGAGUACGAAAGAGGAUCGCGGAAUUCCUGGUGUAGCGGUGAAAUGCGCAGAUAUCAGGAGGAACACCGGUGGCGAAGGCGGCUUGCUGGGCCAGUUCUGACGCUGAGGAGCGAAAGCGUGGGGAGCGAACAGG
rnacentral:rRNA from 1 species